UACGUAGGGUGCAAGCGUUGUCCGGAAUUAUUGGGCGUAAAGAGCUCGUAGGCGGUUUGUCGCGUCUGCUGUGAAAACGCGGGGCUCAACUCCGCGCCUGCAGUGGGUACGGGCAGACUAGAGUGCAGUAGGGGGAGACUGGAAUUCCUGGUGUAGCGGUGGAAUGCGUAGAUAUCUGGAGGAACACCGGUGGCGAAGGCGGUUCUCUGGGAAUAUCCUGACGCUGGAGGAGCGAAAG
rnacentral:rRNA from 1 species